rnacentral:lncRNA from 1 species
CUUGGAAUUCCAUCACCCUUGCCAAGAACUUAAAAUGACUUGCAGAACAGACAAAAACAGAACUGAAAACCAUUUCUCAGGUCCAUAGAGCCUGAAGGAGGGGGGAGGGAGGACAUAAUUUCUCUCCUUCACACAGCCAGUUCAUGGCACCAAGUUAUGGGUGAAAAGGACUUUCUGAAUGCUUAGGAAAGAGACUGUCCUAUUCUAACAAUUUUAAAGAUGUAACCUAUUCCAGCUACAUAGCCAAUGAAAAGAUACUGUUCCUACUCAUAGCGUAGGCGAAUGCAAAAGACCAUUGAUUGGAAAUGAUACAUCAUUUUUCAUUGCUAUAUCCAGGUUCAUUCAGAUCUAAAGUGGAAUUGGGGGAAAAAAAAGAAAAAUAAAGACAGAAGGCAGGAAAGUCAUAUUGCUUCUGGAAUUUCUGCCCUGGUUGGGGCAUUAUUUUUUAAGAAGGAUAUUUGCAAAAUGAAAUGCUUGAAGAGGAGAAUGACCAAGACAAUUUGGUAUCUAGGAAUUCUAAAAUCUGAAGAACUUGUUUGAAUAAUGAACAAUGGUUUGUAUCUUAGAAGGUAGAAGUUUAAGAAGAGGGAAUAAUAUCUUUAAAUAAUUGCAGGGUA